ACUCUCAUCCGCCAUUUUCAGUCCUACAGAGAAAACACGAGUAUGGUUUUGUAUAGUAAACACGUUUGUUGACAUCAAGCGAGAUUGAAUUAUUUAUUGAUAAUUGUGUUAAAUUUCAUUAAAAAAAUUAUUUGAUAGUUGAUGUUAGUAUUUAACCAUUCUAUUUUUAACAUUAAAAGAUAGAUUAAACUACAAAAUACUAUUCAGUGAUUGAUUUAUUAACACAGAUAAGCUAUUUGGAACGUUUCAGUAAUAAUUUGAUGAAAAGUAUGCCAGUAAAAAAGGAAGACAACAACAAAAAAUCAGUCGCUGCUAAAAGCAAAAUGAAGUAUGAAAGUG